rnacentral:rRNA from 1 species
CCUACGGGUGGCAGCAGUGAGGAAUAUUGGUCAAUGGGCGAGAGCCUGAACCAGCCAAGUCGCGUGAGGGAGUACUGCCCUAUGGGUUGUAAACCUCUUUUGUCGGGGAGCAAAAGCCGGACGUGUCCGGCUGUGAGAGUACCCGAAGAAAAAGCAUCGGCUAACUCCGUGCCAGCAGCCGCGGUAAUACGGAUGAUGCGAGCGUUAUCCGGAUUUAUUGGGUUUAAAGGGUGCGCAGGCGGAUGUUUAAGUCAGCGGUAAAAUCGUGGGGUUCAACCCCAUCCAGCCGUUGAAACUGGGGAUCUAGAGUGUGCGAGAGGUAUGCGGAAUGCGUGGUGUAGCGGUGAAAUGCAUAGAUAUCACGCAGAACCCCGAUUGCGAAGGCAGCAUACCGGUGCACAACUGACGCUCAGGCACGAAAGCGUGGGUAUCGAACAGGAUUAGAUACCCCUGUAGUC